GUGGGGAAUAUUCCGCAAUGGACGAAAGUCUGACGGAGCAACGCCGCGUGAGUGAUGAAGGUUUUCGGACUGUAAAGCUCUGUUGUUUAGGACGAAAGUGCCUGUUGCAAAUAGUUACAGGUAUUGACGGUACUGAACGAGGAAGCCACGGCUAACUACGUGCCAGCAGCCGCGGUAAUACGUAGGUGGCAAGCGUUGUCCGGAAUUAUGUGGCGUAAAGAGCAUGUAGGCGGGAAUCUAAGUCUGUUGUGGAAAUGCGGGGCUCAACCCCGUAUUGCGAUGGAAACUGGGUUUCUUGAGUGCAGGGGAGGAAAGGCGAAUUCCUAGUGUAGCGGUGAAAUGCGUAGAUAUUGGGAGGAACACCAGUGGCGAAGGCGCCUUUCUGGACUGUGUCUGACGCUGAGAUGCGAAAGCCAGGGUAGCGAACGGGAUUAGAUACCCUGGUAGUCC
rnacentral:rRNA from 1 species